CAGCACAGAAGGCUCUCUCUCUCUCUCUGUAGUUCAAGUUCAUCGGUGUUCUGGGAUCUGUUGGGAUCCUCAGCGUGGCCGGGGAGCAGAAGGUCCGACCGGCCAGUUGGGUCCGGCUCUCUUCGGAAGGUCUUGAGCCACUCCAGAUCUUCCCUCACGCCCACGCCACAUCGAACCAGGAGCAAUGAUCAUCAGACUGGGCCGGCUGACACCUGGAUACUUCCGCCUCCUCCAGAGGCAAGUUGCCGGCGAGGUGCAGAUGCAGCCAAAGGACCGUGCCGUGAACCAGAUCGCCAUGAUGCUGGCCAUCAUGGGCCUGAGUCUGUCCUACUACAGUGCCAAACAGAUGAUGGAGAAGGUCCAGCCCGCGCCCUGAAACAGACUUGACUACUCUUUGAUUUUUGAAAAUGGACGAGCCGAUGAGGAGGGAAGGAGAUGGAGCGAGGAGGCCGGACGGCUCAGCAGUGUCUUUCAGGACAGCACUUUUCUCACCUCACAGUCAAAGUCACACUCGGACAAUGAAUUUCUGGAAUCCCUCACUAACCAUGCGCAGAGAUGUCAGUGCUGCUUUUUAGAGUUUUCUAUAUAUUCCAUUUUCAGAGCCUGGAAGGAAUUGUGGCUCACUUGGG